ensembl:miRNA MIR3141 microRNA 3141
UCACCCGGUGAGGGCGGGUGGAGGAGGAGGGUCCCCACCAUCAGCCUUCACUGGGACGGGA